GGAGUGUUCCGGCAUUCGACACGGUAAGAGAUGGCAAAGUAAGCAUGCCGAAGGCUCGUCUUCGUACCAACGAGAACUUUUUAAAAGAAUCGACAACAAUCGUUCUUUCGCGUUUGCUGCUUAAUGCAAACUGUCGCGCCAUUGAGCCAACUGUGAUGGUUGCGGCAUCAACAAGGUGUUGGGAACCGAGUUGCAUCCCGCCGCGUGGUGCAAAACGGAAUGAAGCGGCUUGGGCAAAGUAGCCUGUCUAUGGGCGACGUAGCCGACACCAAAACACACGACUAAGCAUGUAGAAAGCGAUGUGGUCUCUAUCGCGGACAAGGGUUCAACCCCCUUCACUUCCACCA
rnacentral:tmRNA from 1 species